rnacentral:rRNA from 1 species
AUUGAACGCUGGCGGCAUGCCUUACACAUGCAAGUCGAACGGCAGCACGGGAGCAAUCCUGGUGGCGAGUGGCGAACGGGUGAGUAAAGUAUCGGAACGUGCCCAGUCGUGGGGAAUAACGUAGCGAAAGUUACGCUAAUACCGCAUACGAUCUAUGGAUGAAAGCGUGGGAUCGCAAGACCUCGCGCGAUUGGAGCGGCCGAUAUCAGAUUAGGUAGGUGGUGGGGUAAAGGCUCACCAAGCCGACGAUCUGUAGCUGGUCUGAGAGGACGACCAGCCACACUGGGACUGAGACACGGCCCAGACUCCUACGGGAGGCAGCAGUGGGGAAUUUUGGACAAUGGGCGAAAGCCUGAUCCAGCCAUGCCGCGUGUAGGAUGAAGGCCUUCGGGUUGUAAACUGCUUUUGUACGGAACGAAAAGGUUUGGCCUAAUAAGCUGAGCUCAUGACGGUACCGUAAGAAUAAGCACCGGCUAACUACGUGCCAGCAGCCGCCGUAAGAC